rnacentral:rRNA from 1 species
GAGCGGUGGCCGCGUCCUAUAAUGCAAGUCGAGCGAAUGACGAGGAGCUUGCUCCUCUGAUUUAGCGGCGGACGGGUGAGUAACACGUGGGUAAUCUGCCUGUAAGACGGGGAUAACUCCGGGAAACCGGGGCUAAUACCGGAUAACAAAAGAAGAUGCAUAUCUUCUUUUUGAAAGUCGGUUUCGGCUGACACUUACAGAUGAGCCCGCGGCGCAUUAGCUAGUUGGUGAGGUAACGGCUCACCAAGGCGACGAUGCGUAGCCGACCUGAGAGGGUGAUCGGCCACACUGGGACUGAGACACGGCCCAGACUCCUACGGGAGGCAGCAGUAGGGAAUCUUCGGCAAUGGGCGAAAGCCUGACCGAGCAACGCCGCGUGAGCGAUGAAGGCCUUCGGGUCGUAAAGCUCUGUUGUUAGAGAAGAACAAGUACGAGAGUAACUGCUCGUACCUUGACGGUACCUAACCAGAAAGCCACGGCUAACUACGUGCCAGCAGCCGCGGUAAUACGUAGGUGGCAAGCGUUAUCCGGAAUUAUUGGGCGUAAAGCGCGCGCAGGCGGUCUCUUAAGUCUGAUGUGAAAGCCCACGGCUCAACCGUGGAGGGUCAUUGGAAACUGGGAGACUUGAGUGCAGGAGAGAAAAGUGGAAUUCCACGUGUAGCGGUGAAAUGCGUAGAGAUGUGGAGGAACACCAGUGGCGAAGGCGGCUUUUUGGCCUGUAACUGACGCUGAGGCGCGAAAGCGUGGGGAGCAAACAGGAUUAGAUACCCUGGUAGUCCACGCCGUAAACGAUGAGUGCUAGGUGUUGGGGGGUUCCACCCUCAGUGCUGAAGUUAACACAUUAAGCACUCCGCCUGGGGAGUACGACCGCAAGGGUUGAAACUCAAAGGAAUUGACGGGGGCCCGCACAAGCAGUGGAGCAUGUGGUUUAAUUCGAAGCAACGCGAAGAACCUUACCAGGUCUUGACAUCCUCUGACCACCUCUAGAGAUAGAGCUUUCCCCUUCGGGGGACAGAGUGACAGGUGGUGCAUGGUUGUCGUCAGCUCGUGUCGUGAGAUGUGGGUUAAGUCCGCAACGAGCCGCAACCCUUGACCUUAGUUGCCAGCAUUCAGUUGGGCACUUCUAAGGUGACUGCCGGUGACAACUGAGAGUGGGAUGACGUCAAAUCAUCAUGCCCUAUGACUGGCUAACCACGGUGCUCAAUUGAUGUCAAGGUGGCAAGCGGAAGUCCAGGCUCAAAUUCUCCAUAAGAGCACAUUCUCCUGCUACGAGU